rnacentral:rRNA from 1 species
UACGUAGGGUGCAAGCGUUGUCCGGAAUUAUUGGGCGUAAAGAGCUCGUAGGCGGUUUGUUGCGUCGGCUGUGAAAUCCCGAGGCUCAACCUCGGGGUCUGCAGUCGAUACGAGCAAACUAGAGUGUUGCAGGGGGAGACUGGAAUUCCUGGUGUAGCGGUGAAAUGCGCAGAUAUCAGGAGGAACACCGGUGGCGAAGGCGGGGUCUCUGGGCAACAACUGACGCUGAGGAGCGGAAAGCGUGGGGGAGCGAACAGG